AACGAACGCUGGCGGCAGGCCUAACACAUGCAAGUCGAGCGCCCCGCAAGGGGAGCGGCAGACGGGUGAGUAACGCGUGGGAAUCUACCUAGUGGUACGGAAUAGCCCCGGGAAACUUGGAGUAAUACCGUAUACGCCCGAAAGGGGAAAGAUUUAUCGCCAUUAGAUGAGCCCGCGUUGGAUUAGCUAGUUGGUGGGGUAACGGCCCACCAAGGCGACGAUCCAUAGCUGGUCUGAGAGGAUGAUCAGCCACACUGGGACUGAGACACGGCCCAGACCCCUACGGGAGGCAGCAGUGGGGAAUAUUGGACAAUGGGCGCAAGCCUGAUCCAGCCAUGCCGCGUGAGUGACGAAGGUCUUCGGAUUGUAAAGCUCUUUUGGCGGGGACGAUAAUGACGGUACCCGCAGAAUAAGCCCCGGCUAACUUCGUGCCAGCCGCCGCGGUAACAC
rnacentral:rRNA from 1 species